AUGGCCAUGGAGGAGGCGACAGCGACGGCGUUUGGCUUCCCGGCGGAGGUGCGGCCGGGGGCCACGCGGGUGGGGUGGGUCGGCAUCGGCGUCAUGGGCGGCGCCAUGGCCGCGCGCCUCCUCGCCGCCGGGUACGCGGUGACGGCCUACGCGCGCACGCCGGCCAAGGCGGGGGGCCUGGUCGCCGCCGGAGCGCGCCUCGCGGACUCGCCGGCCUCCGUGGCCGCGGCCUCCGACGUGGUCUUCACCAUGGUCGGCAACCCCGGCGACGUCCGCGCCGUCGUCCUGGACGCAGCCUCGGGCGCCCUCGCGGGGCUCCGCCCCGGCGGCGUGCUCGUGGACUGCACCAGCUCCUCCCCCUCCCUCGCGCGCGAGGUCGCCGCGGCCGCGCGCGCCGCCGGCUGCCACGCCGUGGACUGCCCCGUCUCCGGCGGCGACGUCGGCGCGCGCGACGGCACGCUCGCCCUCCUCGCCGGCGGGGACGAGGCCGUGGUGGCGUGGCUCGCCCCGCUCUUCGCCCACCUCGGCAGGCCGACCUACAUGGGCCCGCCCGGCAGCGGCCAGAGCAGCAAGAUCGCGAACCAGAUCGCGGUGGCGGGCGCGGUGGUCGGCCUCGGCGAGUCCCUGGCCUUCGCCGGCGCCGCCGGGCUGGACGAGCGGCUGUUCCUCGGCGCGGUGUCCAAGGGCGCCGCGGGGUCGCGCGUGAUGGACAUCUUCGGCGAGCGCGCGCUGAGCCGCGACUUCACGUCCGGGGGCGCCGUGCGGUACAUCAUCAAGGACCUCGGCAUGGCGCUGGAGGUCGGCGACGGCCAGGAGGAGGAUGAGGUCAACGUGCUGCCAGGGUCGGCGCUGUACCGGCAGAUGUUCUCGGCCAUGGCGGCGAACGGCGACGGCGAGCUGUGCCUGCAGGGACUGAUCACCGUCGUCGAGCGCCUGAACGGCAUCCGCAAGUGA
rnacentral:rRNA from 1 species